UAUAGUGAUUGGAGGGACGCAGUAGGCUAAGGUAAGCCAGUUAAUGGAUUCUGGUCUAAGCAGUGAGGUUUGGUAUGAGUCAAAUGCUUGUACCUCUAAGGUUGAGCUGUGAUGGGGAAGCACUUUCGAGUGCGAAGUACCUGAUGUCACACUGCCAAGAAAAUCUUCUAGCGUUUAAUUAUAACCUACCCGUACCGCAAACCGACACAGGUAGUUGAGGCGAGUAGCCUCAGGUGAGCGAGAGAACUCUCGUUAAGGAACUCGGCAAAAUGACCCCGUAACUUCGGGAGAAGGGGUGCUCUACAUUUGUAGAGCCGCAGUGAAUAGGCCCAAGCGACUGUUUAUCAAAAACACAGCUCUCUGCUAAAUCGUAAGAUGAUGUAUAGGGGGUGACGCCCGCCCGGUGCUGGAAGGUUAAGAGGAGUGCUUAGCGUAAGCGAAGGUAUGAAUUGAAGCCCCAGUAAACGGCGGCCGUAACGAUAACGGUCCUAAGGUAGCGAAAUUCCUUGUCGGGUAAGUUCCGACCCGCACGAAAGGCGUAACGAUUUGGGCACUGUCUCAACGAGAGACUCGGUGAAAUUUUAGUACCUGUGAAGAUGCAGGUUACCCGCGACAGGACGGAAAGACCCCAUGGAGCUUUACUGCAAGUUGAUAUUGAGUAUCUGUUGCACAUGUACAGGAUAGGUAGGAGCCAUUGAUCUGAGGACGCUAGUUUUCAGUGAGGCGAUGUUGGGAUACUACCCUUGUGUCAUGGCUACUCUAACCCGCAUGCCUAAUCGGCAUGGGAGACAGUGUCUGCUGGGCAGUUUGACUGGGGCGGUCGCCUCCUAAAGAGUAACGGAGGCGCUCAAAGUUUCCCUCAGCAUGGUUGGAAAUCAUGCGUAGAGUGUAAAGGUAUAAGGGAGAUUGACUGCGAGACUUACAAGUCGAGCAGGUACGAAAGUAGGACUUAGUGAUCCGGUGGUACCGCAUGGAAGGGCCAUCGCUCAACGGAUAAAAGCUACCCUGGGGAUAACAGGCUUAUCUCCCCCAAGAGUUCACAUCGACGGGGAGGUUUGGCACCUCGAUGUCGGCUCGUCGCAUCCUGGGGCUGUAGUCGGUCCCAAGGGUUGGGCUGUUCGCCCAUUAAAGCGGCACGCGAGCUGGGUUCAGAACGUCGUGAGACAGUUCGGUCCCUAUCCGUCGCGGGCGUAGGAAAUUUGAGAGGAUCUGCCCUUAGUACGAGAGGACCGGGGUGGACUUACCGCUGGUGUACCAGUUGUCUUGCCAAAGGCAUCGCUGGGUAGCUAUGUAGGGAACGGAUAAACGCUGAAAGCAUCUAAGUGUGAAACCAACCUCAAGAUGAGAUUUCCCAUUCUUUAUGAAUUAAGAGCCCUGAGAGAUGAUCAGGUAGAUAGGCUAGAAGUGGAAGGACAGUGAUGUUUGGAGCGGACUAGUACUAAUAGCUCGAGGACUUUACC
rnacentral:rRNA from 1 species